rnacentral:rRNA from 1 species
UGGGGAAUAUUGCGCAAUGGGCGAAAGCCUGACGCAGCGACGCCUCGUGAGGGAUGAAGGUCUUCGGAUCGUAAACCUCUGUCAAGAGGGAAGAAACCCUUGAGCUCAAAUAGGGCUUGAGGCUGACGGUACCUCUAAAGGAAGCACCGGCUAACUCCGUGCCAGCAGCCGCGGUAAUACGGAGGGUGCAAGCGUUAAUCGGAAUCACUGGGCGUAAAGCGCUCGUAGGCGGUCUGUUAAGUCAGAUGUGAAAUCCCUCGGCUCAACCGGGGAACUGCAUUUGAUACUGGCAGACUUGAGUGUCGGAGAGGGUGGCGGAAUUCCGGGUGUAGGAGUGAAAUCCGUAGAUAUCCGGAGGAACACCAGUGGCGAAGGCGGCCACCUGGACGACAACUGACGCUGAGGAGCGAAAGCGUGGGUAGCAAACA